rnacentral:rRNA from 1 species
CAGUCGCCGCGGGAAUACAGAGGGUGCGAGCGUUAAUCGGAUUUACUGGGCGUAAAGCGUGCGUAGGCGGCUUUUUAAGUCGGAUGUGAAAUCCCUGAGCUUAACUUAGGAAUUGCAUUCGAUACUGGGAAGCUAGAGUAUGGGAGAGGAUGGUAGAAUUCCAGGUGUAGCGGUGAAAUGCGUAGAGAUCUGGAGGAAUACCGAUGGCGAAGGCAGCCAUCUGGCCUAAUACUGACGCUGAGGUACUAAAGCAUGGGGAGCAAACAGGAUUAGAUACCCCAGUAGUCCCUGUCUCUUAUAC